UGCUGGAAUUAUGUAAACCAUACAGGGAAUGGCUUGGUUUGAGAGCCGACGAAGGACAUGGCAAGCUGUGAAAAGCUUCGGCGAGGCGCAUGCAGCCGUCGAACCGAAGAUGUCUGAAUUACUCCGUAAGGGGAGGGAACCCGGGGAAUUGAAACAUCUCAGUACCCGGAGGAAAAGAAAGCAAUAUUGCGAUCCGGUCAGUAAGGGCGACUGAAAACCGGAAAGGGCAAACCGAAUGCGCAAUGGUGACAUUGUGUAGAUGUGGUGUUGAACGGCCCACAUAAAACCAUCUCAUAACUGGUAAAGUCCGCUGGAACGCGGCACCAUAGAGGGUGACAGUCCCGUAGCUAACCUAUGAGGUGGCAGGUGGAGUCCGAGAGUAGCGUGCAUUGGUAUUUGCGCGUGAAGCUCCCAGACAUUAACUGGGAACCCUAAAUACCUCUCAAAGCCGAUAGCGUACUAGUACCGCGAGGGAAAGCUGAAAAGGAGCCCUAACGGGCAGUGAAAAGAACCUGAAGCUGUAUGGUGAUAGUUAGAUGCAGCGAAAGUUGCAUCGUUAGUCUAGAAACAUUAGACAGGGAGUAUAUUUCUGCGGUGACCUGAAAGGGGUAGGGAAACCAAGAAUCCGCAACACUGUGAGGGAUGUGGUGUGAUCGCCAUAAAUCGCAGGAAUAUGACCUGAAGCCGUUCGAUCUAACCCUGGGCAGGAUGAAGUCCACCAACUGGUGGAUGGAGGUCUGUUACCGGUUCUAAGCUCAACUUGUUCGGGUGACCUGGGGAUAGAGGUGAAAUGCUAAUCGCGUUCGGCAAUAGCAGGUUCCAACCGAAAUUGGCCUUAGUCAAGUCUGGUCUGAGAUUGGCUGUGGGGUAGAGCACUGACUGGAAAGCCAGGAGGAGAAAUCUUUCACUUUCCUGUCAAACUCCGAACUUACAGUCGUCGUAGAAGACUGGAGACGGGGGCGGGGGGUAAGCUCCUGUCCCGAGAGGGAAACAACCCAGAUUGUGGUUAAGGCCCCAAAGUGUACACUGAGUGUAAACAAGGGCGUCUUAGGUCUAAGACAUCGAGGAGGUUAGCUCAGAAGCAGCUAUCCUCUAAGGAGUGCGUAACAGCUCACUCGCCAAGACUUAGGGCCCCUAAAAUGGACGGGACUAAGUGUACCGCCGAUACCACAAUGGACACAAAUAAUUUGUGUUUUCAGGUAGGUUGGUGUCAUGUGCGGAUAGAAGCGUGGCUUUAAGGCUGCGUGGACCGCACACGAAUAAGAAUCCUGUCAAGAGUAACAGCAAUGAAUGGUGAGAAUCCAUUCCACCUGAAGGGCCAGGGUUCCUCAACAACGUUCGUCAGUUGAGGGUUAGUCGAUCCUAAGGUAUCCGUAACUCGGAGUAACCGAAAGGGAAGCAUGUUAAUAUUCAUGCACCACAUGGGUACAUGGCAACACAAGUUUGUCACUCCGACGCUUCCGGGUCGCUCAAGCAAAGCCGUCGCUUUGUCUAAGCAAAAUAAAACUGUGGAGUACCGUAACGGUGAGAAGCAGUUUAAUUUGUGAAUGGCCUCCCGUAUGGGGGGUUUGGGUUAUCCCAGGAGUCAGUGAAAAGGAGGACAAUCGGAUCCCGUGUGAUCGUACCGAGAUCUGACACUGGUGCCCCUAGCUGAGAAGGCUCAGGUGUAGCGAGACAAAACUCUCCAUAGGGAAUUCGGCAAACUAGCCCCGUAACUUAGGGAUAAGGGGUGCCUGCCCCGGAAGGGACAGGUCGCAGAGACAGGGGGACUCCGACUGUUUAAUAAAAACGUAGGUCACCGCGAAUUCGAAAGGACUUGUAUGGUGGCUGAUACCUGCCCAGUGCUGGUAUCUCAAACUCCGGUCCAACGGAGCGAAGGACCAGUAAACGGCGGGGGUAACUAUGACCCUCUUAAGGUAGCGUAAUACCUUGCCGCUUAAUUGGCGGCUUGCACGAAGGUUUAACGAGAGUCCUGCUAUCCCAUGGAGAGGCUCGGUGAACUUACUCUUCUGGCGUACAGGCCAGAGAAUUCCAGCGGGACGCGAAGACCCCGUGGAGCUCUGCAGCAGCAUAUGGCUGAAUUGUGAUUAUUCCUGCGCAGCGUAGGUGGGAGACGUUUGAGCAAUUCGUUUCGGCGGAUUGUUAGUCGACGAUGAGACACCACCCUCGAAUGAUUACAGUUCUAACCCGAAAGGGGACACCUAUAUGUGGGCUGCUCGGGUGGGGCGCCACACCGUUGAAAGAAUAUCGACGGUAUCUAAUGGUAGGCUCAGUCGGGACAGAAAUCCGACGUAGAGGACAAGACCAAAAGCCUGCCUGACCAGAUUCCAAACACUACGGAAACUGGAGACGAAAGUCAAGUCUAGCGAACCCCGAAGUCCUCCUUAAUGGGGGCUCGGGCUGAUAGAAAAGCUACCCCGGGGAUAACUGAGUGGUAACGGGCAAGAGUACACAUCGACCCCGUUGCUUGCUACUUCGCUGUCGACUCACUGCAUCCUGGCUGUGCAGAAGCAGCCAAGGGUGGGGUUGUUCGCCCAUUAAAGCGGUACGUGAGUUGGGUUUAGAACGUCGCGAGACAGUUUGGCGGCAUCUGCUGGAAUUGUAUGUUGUCUGAGGGGAAGGAUCCAUUAGUACGAGAGGAACAUGGGACCGUGGCCUCUGGUGUAUCGGUUGUCCGACAGGGCAGCGCCGAGUAGCUACGCCGCAGCUGGUAAAGGCUGAAAGCAUCUAAGCCUGAAACAGUCCCCAAAAAUAGACAGCGUAGACGCCACCUAAAAGAGUGGUUUAAUAGGUUGGGGAUGUACGCACCAAGCCUUCGGGCGAGGUGUUUAGUCCACCAAUACUAAACGUCAUAACCGAUUCCAACA
rnacentral:rRNA from 1 species